AAUGAAUCAAGAACUUAGCUUCCCUUUAUUAUUUUCCUCCGACGAAGAAGUAAAAGCAUCUAGCGUCGCGUAGCUCCGUGGUGUAAACCCAUUUCCAGAGCUCUCUGUCGAACUAGAUGUGUCACAGCAGCUCGAGGGAUUAGCAAUGGUACAAUUAUCAGGGUGUUGAACGUUGCUGCAGAGAAUAGAUAAUAACCCCAAACUCGAAUAGGACGCCUUAGCCGAAACUUCAACUGAUUCACUUCCAGUGAAUCGCUUAGACCUGAAUCCUUGCAAGUAAGCUUGACAUCAACGUGAGCAAAUACCCAGUGGUUGUUCCAGCAGCAAGGGUCGGCCUACAGCAGCUUAAGACUUUGAAUCUAUAGCUUGAGGUCUUUAAGAUAAGAACACGAUCAGGCUGAGAAAGUUUAGUAUCCACUGAUCUGAGUAGAAUUAGCAGUAGCUCCACUUGAGCAGGAAGGAUAUCAAGCGAUGUGCAAAAUCAUUUGCCCUUGCACCAGAAUUUUUGUAAAAUCAUAAGAAGUUGUAAAUAACUGAAGUUUGUCGGCAAACCACAGCUGCAGCGGCAUUCGUCAUCCACAGCACUCGCAAUUGCCUCAUAAUGUUCAAAUAGACCCGAAGCCUGAAUUCAAGCAAAAGUGAGUCUCUGAAAUUCAGCUGGAAACACAACCAAAGUGAGGAAAAUACGAACAACCAUCAGGAUUUGUCAUAAUUUGUCCAUGAUCUGCGAGCUAUCGUUGCUCCUUGGAUCAAGAAAUUGGCUGGCAGCAUCGGUGAAAUCGGUGGUCUGUGCUAUUAUUCGGCGGCUGAAGCAGGAUAU
rnacentral:lncRNA from 1 species